AUUGACCGCUGGCGGCAUGCCUUACACAUGCAAGUCGAACGGCAGCACGGGGGCAACCCUGGUGGCGAGUGGCGAACGGGUGAGUAAUGCCUCGGAACGUGCCACGUUGUGGGGGACAGCCCGGCGAAAGCAGGCUUAAUACCGCAUACGACCUGCGGGUGAAAGCGGGGGACCGCGAGGCCUCGCGCAAUUGGGGCGGCCUAUGGAGGUUGAUCUAGUUGGUGGGGUAAAGGCGUACCAAGGGGACGAUCCGUAGCUGGUUUCGGAGGACUACCAACCAAAAUGGGACUGAGAAACGGCGCAGACUCCUACGGGAGGCAGCAGGGGGGAAUUUUGGACAAUGUGCGCAAGCCUGGUACAGCCAUGCCGCGUGCGGGAAGAAGGCCUUCGGGUUGUAAACCGCUUUUGUCAGGGAAGAAAUGCUUCGGGCUAAUAUCCUGGAGUGAUGACGGUACCUGAAGAAUAAGCACCGGCUAACUACGUGCCAGCCGCCGCGGUAAUAC
rnacentral:rRNA from 1 species